UACGUAGGGUGCAAGCGUUGUCCGGAAUUAUUGGGCGUAAAGAGCUCGUAGGCGGUUUGUCGCGUCUGCUGUGAAAACCCGAGGCUCAACCUCGGGCCUGUAGUGGGUACGGGCAGACUAGAGUGCGGUAGGGGAGAUUGCGAUUCCUGGUGUAGCGGUGGAAUGCGCAGAUAGCUGGAGGAACACCGAUGGCGAAGGCAGAUCUCUGGGCCGUAACUGACGCUGAGGAGCGAAAGCGUGGGGAGCGAACAGG
rnacentral:misc_RNA from 1 species